rnacentral:ncRNA from 1 species
CGGCGGAGGUUGGAUCCCGUCCCGUCGGGGCGGGCGCACUACCGGCCGAUCUUCUCCGCCCUGUCGGCGAGGUCGAGCGAGAGCGUGCAAGUCGGGACCCGAAAGAUGGUGAACUAUGCCUGAGGAGGUUGAAGCCAGAGGAAACUCUGGUGGAGGACCGUAGCGAUUCUGACGUGCAAAUCGAUCGUCAAAUUUGGGUAUAGGGGCGAAAGACUAAUCGAACCGUCUAGUAGCUGGUUCCCUUCGAAGUUUCCCUCAGGAUAGCUGGCGCUCUGUCGCAGUUUUAUCUGGUAAAGCGAAUGAUUAGAGGUCUUGGGGGCGAAACGCCCUCAACCUAUUCUCAAACUUUAAAUUGGUAAGAAGCCCGACUCGCUCGUUUGGAGCCGGGCAUGGAAUGCGAGUGCCAAGUGGGCCACUCUUGGUAAGCAGGACUGGCGAUGCGGGAUGAACCGAACGCCGGGUUAAGGCGCCCGACGCGACGCUCAUCAGAGCCCACAAAAGGUGUUGGUUGAUAUAGACAGCAGGACGGUGGCCAUGGAAGUCGGAAACCGCUAAGGAGUGUGUAACAACUCACCUGCCGAAUCAAUCAGCCCUGAAAAUGGAUGGCGCUGGAGCGUCGGGCCUAUACCCGGCCGUAGCGGCGGUACGAGCAUCGAGUUGGUGCGCUAAGCCGCGACGAGUAUGAAUGGCCGAGGCGGCGGGCGUAAAAACCUAAGGCGCGAGCCC